GAUGAACGCUGGCGGCGUGCCUAAUACAUGCAAGUCGAGCGAACAGACGAGGAGCUUGCUCCUUUGACGUUAGCGGCGGACGGGUGAGUAACACGUGGGUAACCUACCUAUAAGACUGGGAUAACUUCGGGAAACCGGAGCUAAUACCGGAUAAUAUUUCGAACCGCAUGGUUCGAUAGUGAAAGAUGGCUUUGCUAUCACUUAUAGAUGGACCUGCGCCGUAUUAGCUAGUUGGUAAGGUAACGGCUUACCAAGGCAACGAUACGUAGCCGACCUGAGAGGGUGAUCGGCCACACUGGAACUGAGACACGGUCCAGACUCCUACGGGAGGCAGCAGUAGGGAAUCUUCCGCAAUGGGCGAAAGCCUGACGGAGCAACGCCGCGUGAGUGAUGAAGGUCUUCGGAUCGUAAAACUCUGUUAUUAGGGAAGAACAAACGUGUAAGUAACUGUGCACGUCUUGACGGUACCUAAUCAGAAAGCCACGGCUAGCUACGUG
rnacentral:rRNA from 1 species